rnacentral:rRNA from 1 species
GGAUCAAUGCGUCGGUCGUGCCUUCGGUACGUACUGGCGUCAUCGAUUCCUCCCUUCUGAAGAACCGUGAUGUCAUUAAUUUGGUGUUACGGGGAAUCAGGACUGUUACCUUGAAAAAAUUAGAGUGUUUAAAGCAGGCUAACGCUUGAAUACAUUAGCAUGGAAUAAUGAAAUAGGACGUUCGAACCUAUUUUGUUGGUUUCUAGGAUCGACGUA